rnacentral:rRNA from 1 species
ACACCAGACUCCUACGGGAGGCAGCAGUGGGGAAUAUUGCACAAUGGGGGAAACCCUGAUGCAGCGACGCCGCGUGAGCGAUGAAGUAUUUCGGUAUGUAAAGCUCUAUCAGCAGGGAAGUAAAUGACGGUACCUGACUAAGAAGCCCCGGCUAACUACGUGCCAGCAGCCGCGGUAAUACGUAGGGGGCAAGCGUUAUCCGGAUUUACUGGGUGUAAAGGGAGCGUAGACGGUCCUGCAAGCCAGAUGUGAAAGCCCGGGGCUCAACCCCGGGACUGCAUUGGGAACUGGCGUGCUGGAGUGCCGGAGGGGCAGGCGGAAUUCCUGGUGUAGCGGUGAAAUGCGUAGAUAUCAGGAGGAACACCGGUGGCGAAGGCGGCCUGCUGGACGGAUACUGACGCUGAGGCCCGAAAGCGUGGGGAGCGAACAGGAUUAGAUACCCCCGUAGA